rnacentral:rRNA from 1 species
UUGCUAUAAUUGUCAGCUAAGUGGCGCACGGGUGAGUAAUGUAUAGAUAACCUGCCCUUAAGAAAGGAAUAACAGUUGGAAACGACUGCUAAUGCCCUAUAUGCCUUUAAUACAUAAGUAUGCAAGGGAAACGCUUUAGUGCUUAAGGAUGGGUCUGUAUGGUAUCAGCUUGUUGGUGAGGUAAUGGCUCACCAAGGCUAUGACGCCUAACUGGUUUGAGAGGAUGAUCAGUCACACUGGAACUGAGACACGGUCCAGACUCCUACGGGAGGCAGCAGUGGGGAAUAUUGCACAAUGGACGAAAGUCUGAUGCAGCAACGCCGCGUGGAGGAUGACACAUUUCGGUGCGUAAACUCCUUUUAUAUAGGAAGAUAAUGACGGUACUAUAUGAAUAAGCACCGGCUAACUCCGUGCCAGCAGCCGCGGUAAUACGGAGGGUGCAAGCGUUACUCGGAAUCACUGGGCGUAAAGAGCGUGUAGGCGGGUAUAUAAGUCAGAAGUGAAAUCCAAUAGCUCAACUAUUGAACUGCUUUUGAAACUGUAUACCUAGAAUGUGGGAGAGGUAGAUGGAAUUUCUGGUGUAGGGGUAAAAUCCGUAGAGAUCAGAAGGAAUACCGAUUGCGAAGGCGAUCUACUGGAACAUUAUUGACGCUGAGACGCGAAAAGCGUGGGGAGCAAACAGGAUUAGAUACCCUGGUAGUCCACGCCCUAAAACAAUGUACACUAAUUGUUGUGAGGGCGCGAAAAUUAGUAUUAUUGCAGUUAACAGAUUAAAUGUACCGCCUGUGGAAUCAUGGGU